rnacentral:rRNA from 1 species
AUUGAACGCUGGCGGCAGGCCUAACACAUGCAAGUCGAACGGUAACAGAAAGCAGCUUGCUGCUUUGCUGACGAGUGGCGGACGGGUGAGUAAUGUCUGGGAAACUGCCUGAUGGAGGGGGAUAACUACUGGAAACGGUAGCUAAUACCGCAUAACGUCGCAAGACCAAAGAGGGGGACCUUCGGGCCUCUUGCCAUCGGAUGUGCCCAGAUGGGAUUAGCUAGUAGGUGGGGUAAAGGCUCACCUAGGCGACGAUCCCUAGCUGGUCUGAGAGGAUGACCAGCCACACUGGAACUGAGACACGGUCCAGACUCCUACGGGAGGCAGCAGUGGGGAAUAUUGCACAAUGGGCGCAAGCCUGAUGCAGCCAUGCCGCGUGUAUGAAGAAGGCCUUCGGGUUGUAAAGUACUUUCAGCGGGGAGGAAGGGGGUAAAGUUAAUACCUUUGCUCAUUGACGUUACCCGCAGAAGAAGCACCGGCUAACUCCGUG